UAUUCUCAACCUUCAUAACUUUUUUGUUAUCGAAGGCUUGGACUUGGAGGCUUGUGCUGGCUUACUUGCUUAAGUCGGCUCCUCUUAAAUGUAUUAGCGUGAGUGUAACGGAUCGCUUCGGUGUGAUAAUUAUCUGCGCCGUGGUCGUGAAGUAACAUAAGCUUGCGCUUCUAACCGUCCUUCAGUUGGACAAUACACUUUGAC
rnacentral:misc_RNA from 2 species